rnacentral:misc_RNA from 1 species
AUUGUCUCCUCUGUUGGCUCUUCACUAUUCACUAAUCUCACCUUCCCUUUGUACAUUCCUAGCUCUUCUAGCAUCCUCUGUUCCUCUUCGUACUCGUAUUCAUUCUCCUCAGCUUUUCCGGCGACCUUUCUUUCAUCUUUAACGACGCCGUCGCCGUUCAUGGCUCCGGUGUUCUUAACGAUUACGUUUAGUCUACAAUAGUACUUGGGUGAACGCUAAUCAAGCUUUAGCUACUAAUUUUAACCAGCUAA